GCCCCGCUGGCUCAAUGGUAGAGCGUAAGACUUCUAUGGUAUACAACUACUUUCCAGACUCAUCUACAAGAUGGCUGGAGAUAUGGAUCCUUGUGAAUCUUAAGGUUGCGGGUUCGACCCCCGCGUGGGGUU